rnacentral:rRNA from 1 species
AUUGAACGCUGGCGGCAGGCCUAACACAUGCAAGUCGAGCGGAUGAAGGGAGCUUGCUCCUGGAUUCAGCGGCGGACGGGUGAGUAAUGCCUAGGAAUCUGCCUGGUCGUGGGGGAUAACGUCCGGAAACGGGCGCUAAUACCGCAUCCGUCCUGAGGGAGAAAGUGGGGGAUCUUCGGACCUCACGCUAUCAGAUGAGCCUAGGUCGGAUUAGCUAGUUGGUGGGGUAAAGGCCUACCAAGGCGACGAUCCGUAACUGGUCUGAGAGGAUGAUCAGUCACACUGGAACUGAGACACGGUCCAGACUCCUACGGGAGGCAGCAGUGGGGAAUAUUGGACAAUGGGCGAAAGCCUGAUCCAGCCAUGCCGCGUGUGUGAAGAAGGUCUUCGGAUUGUAAAGCACUUUAAGUUGGGAGGAAGGGCAGUAAGUUAAUACCUUGCUGUUUUGACGUUACCAACAGAAUAAGCACCGGCUAACUUCGUG